rnacentral:rRNA from 1 species
GAUGAACGCUGGCGGCGUGCCUAAUACAUGCAAGUCGAGCGAACGGACGAGAAGCUUGCUUCUCUGAUGUUAGCGGCGGACGGGUGAGUAACACGUGGAUAACCUACCUAUAAGACUGGGAUAACUUCGGGAAACCGGAGCUAAUACCGGAUAAUAUUUUGAACCACAUGGUUCAAAAGUGAAAGACGGUCUUGCUGUCACUUAUAGAUGGAUCCGCGCUGCAUUAGCUAGUUGGUAAGGUAACGGCUUACCAAGGCAACGAUGCAUAGCCGACCUGAGAGGGUGAUCGGCCACACUGGAACUGAGACACGGUCCAGACUCCUACGGGAGGCAGCAGUAGGGAAUCUUCCGCAAUGGGCGAAAGCCUGACGGAGCAACGCCGCGUGAGUGAUGAAGGUCUUCGGAUCGUAAAACUCUGUUAUUAGGGAAGAACAUAUGUGUAAGUAACUGUGCACAUCUUGACGGUACCUAAUCAGAAAGCCACGGCUAACUACGUG